rnacentral:rRNA from 1 species
CAGCAGCCGCGGUAAUACGUAGGGUGCAAGCGUUAAUCGGAAUUACUGGGCGUAAAGCGUGCGUAGGUGGUGGUUUAAGUCCGUUGUGAAAGCCCUGGGCUCAACCUGGGAAUUGCAGUGGAUACUGGGUCACUAGAGUGUGGUAGAGGAUAGUGGAAUUUCCGGUGUAGCAGUGAAAUGCGUAGAGAUCGGAAGGAACAUCUGUGGCGAAGGCGACUAUCUGGGCCAACACUGACACUGAGGCACGAAAGCGUGGGGAGCAAACAGGAUUAGAUACCCGCGUAGUCCCUGUCUCUUAUAC